AUAAAAAAAGAGAUCCCUCUUGUUAAAGGAUCCCAUCUUUUAAAUAUCUAGUUUGAUUUUUGUCUCUAUCUGCUUCUCACUUCAUUCCUAUGUGCUCUUUCUUACGAGCUCUCUUCAAUUGCUCAGCCAUGGCGCCCAUACUCACACUCAAACAGAAAAAAGGGUCUCUUUCAAUUUCUCUGCUCCACUCUUUCUCCUUCAAUUUUCAUUCCUUCCCUCUCUUUCAAUUAUCAAUAUUUUUUUUUUUAAUUCUCAAUUGACGAGGAAGAAAGCAAACGAUUCCACUCUUUCUCUUUCAAUAUUUUUUUUUUAAUUCUCAAUUUUGUAGUAUCUUAAGAACAAUGACGAGGAAGAAAGGAAACGAUUAGAAGAAAGAAUGAAGGAUUGGAACUAUUUUAACAUAAUGAUGAGGAAUACGACCCGAGUAUCGAGGCAUUUCCCUGCCAAUAACUUGAGUUCUUACACUUGUGUAUGGUUUCUUUAUGAAUAAUUGUAACUUGAUGUCUUAUCUUUUACUAGUACUUCUAUUUAUUAGUAUGCUCUGGACAUAUUCGUAGAUCUUUUAUUUCUGAUUUGUACUUGCUAGACAUUCUAUUUCUUUCAUGUUUAAUUUGGAUUAUUAUUAUUACCU